rnacentral:rRNA from 1 species
AGAGGCCCAAGUUGACAGACAUCGGCGUAAAGAGUGGUUAAGGAAAUACUAUUACUAAAGCCGAACGCCCUCAGAACUGUCAUACGUUCCCGAAGGUAAGAAGCCCCACCACGAAAGUGGCUUUAUCCCACCUGACCCCACGAAAGCUGCGAAACAAACUGGGAUUAGAGACCCCACUAUGCCCAGCCCUAAACUUUGAUAGCACCUUACGCCCGCUAUCCGCCAGGGAACUACGAGCAUUA